rnacentral:rRNA from 1 species
GAGUUUGAUCUUGGCUCAGAUUGAACGCUGGCGGCAUGCCUUACACAUGCAAGCCGAACGGCAGCACGGGAGCUUGCUCCUGGUGGCGAGUGGCGAACGGGUGAGUAAUGCAUCGGAACGUAUCCUGGAGUGGGGAUAACGUAGCGAAAGUUACGCUAAUACCGCAUAUUCUGUGAGCAGGAAAGCGGGGGACCUUCGGGCCUCGCGCUCUUGGAGCGGCCGAUGUCGGAUUAGCUAGUUGGUGAGGUAAAGGCUCGACCAAGGCGACGAUCCGUAGCAGGUCUGAGAGGAUGAUCUGCCACACUGGAACUGAGACACGGU